AGUGAACGCUGGCGGUAGGCCUAACACAUGCAAGUCGAACGGCAGCACAGUAAGAGCUUGCUCUUACGGGUGGCGAGUGGCGGACGGGUGAGGAAUACAUCGGAAUCUACUUUUUCGUGGGGGAUAACGUAGGGAAACUUACGCUAAUACCGCAUACGACCUACGGGUGAAAGCAGGGGAUCUUCGGACCUUGCGCGAUUGAAUGAGCCGAUGUCGGAUUAGCUAGUUGGCGGGGUAAAGGCCCACCAAGGCGACGAUCCGUAGCUGGUCUGAGAGGAUGAUCAGCAACACUGGAACUGAGACACGGUCCAGACUCCUACGGGAGGCAGCAGUGGGGAAUAUUGGACAAUGGGCGCAAGCCUGAUCCAGCCAUACCGCGUGGGUGAAGAAGGCCUUCGGGUUGUAAAGCCCUUUUGUUGGGAAAGAAAAGCAGCAGGUUAAUACCCCGCUGUCCUGACGGUACCCAAAGAAUAAGCACCGGCUAACUUCGUG
rnacentral:rRNA from 1 species